GGCUCACGUCUUCUGCAGGAAAGGUGACGCAGGGAGGAGCGCCGUCUGGCUGGAAGGCGGAAGUCCUCCGCAGAAGGGCGGAGGGCGGUUCUUGCAGGCGUUCUCUUAUUAAUUUAAUGUUGAGUAAAAUACUUCAUAAAUGUUCUUAUGGUUCCUGUGGUUUAAGAAGCACUGCCUCCGGUUGGCCGGUGAGGAGACAGACUCAGGAAGUGAAAGACUGCCCUAGGUUCCCGAGCGCGGGGCCACCUGAGAUCUGAAGUGGGUUCAGGCGUGUAAGAUUCAAGAACUGUCGUGACUGGGAGAGCUUCGAACAGGCCGUCAGUUUCACGAAGGCGAAAACGGGCCGGUGGUGGUGAAGUGGUUUGUCAGGAGUCAGUAGGGCAGUUGCAAACCUCGGUGCUCCUGGCUGUCACGUGCCCGUGUGGGGGCACACCCCUGUUGCGAGGCUGCUGUGCCCUCCGUCGCACUACUGAUGUCAGUGACCUGACCUGUCACCUCGUCUUCAGUGGGACGACCCAGUGAGAAUCUGCAGUCAUGACGCAGUGAAGCCACCUAACGGGAGAAUUUACCAUAUGGGAGGAAACGGCAUCUACGGAUAUAGUGCGGCUGAACACAUAGCUUUAUUCUCCUUAAAUGACCCCGUGAAUCACUUUUUACCUGCUUUGUUACAGAUGAAAACGCUAGUUUAGCCUUAAGAGCUAAAGUCCCGAGUUUCUCUUUCCUCAUCGAAUCCCAGUGUCCAGCGCAUUAGGUGCUGACUAUUUUGUUGAAAAAGUGCAGCAAUCAACUCAGAAGACUUGUGUGUAUGUGGUCCAUACUCCGAGGUCUGUGAAAUGGAAGAGUAGUUCUACAUGGAAUGUCCAUUUAUCUUCCGUGAAAAGUCUUGUGCAACUGAAUGAAGCAGAAAAUAGGUUCAGAAGUCUCCAUUGGAAAAACAACAGAGCUGUGUGUUACCUUUCCGAAGGUAGUAAAUUUUGGGGGGCGAUUCAGUUAACUUUCAUCAUUUUGAAACCCUUAAUAAAAAGGAUUUCCAUCA